rnacentral:sRNA from 1 species
UAUCCUGGGAAAUCCUGUUAUAUGGAUUCUAUGUGUUUCAAACGUCUUUGUAUACAUUGUACGAAUCGGUAUUGAUAACUGGGCACCGUUAUAUGUGUCAGAGCAUUUACACUUUAGUAAAGGCGAUGCAGUUAAUACGAUAUUCUACUUUGAAAUUG